ensembl:misc_RNA
AAAGUCUGACAGGUUUCUCAGGAAAAGUGGCCAUCCAUGGAAUGAAUGAAAUAUUCGCUUCCUGUUCCA